AAACCCAGAUGCUCUAAAAUACAAAGAGUAAGUAGAGACUGGAAGGGGAUAAAAAUGUGAAGAUUUUCGUAGCCAAUUAUAACAGGUUUGUAAACGUAUAUGAAAUAUGAAAUGUUCAAAAAUUUCAGUAUCAUUUUAUUUAUUGUUACCCACUUACAAAAAUGAGAUAAGGUCUCAUGAUGUUGCCUAAGCUGUUCUGGAACUCCUGGCCUCAAGUGAUUCUCCCACCUCAGCCUCCCAAAGUGCUGGGAUUAUAGGCAGGAGCCACCACACCUUGCCCCGACUUUGUGAAUAGAACGUACUGGCUGAAUAAGAAGGAACAAUGUCUUUUUUUAUUCCAGCUUCUGCUUGCCUCUUCCUUUUCAUGCUACCAAAGUGGAGUUCAGCACAACAGAAACAGACGGACAGAAAGUUUCAGAAGACAUGGGAUUUUAAAAACCACCGAUCUGUUAGGAAACGGCCUUGUUUCCUCAUUUCCAAGGAAGUAAGGGUUUACUGGAAUCUACGGACACCACAGAAAACCACCACUCCUGCAAUACUGUUCUGCAGGAUGACCAAGUGAAUACUGCAAUUACCGGGAGGUUUUAUAGACACCAUAAAAUUGUAAAACUGCAGAGGUGAUUUCAGUAAUUUAUUGCUGGCUUCUUCAGCCCCCAGACCAAGUUGUAUACAGCCACUAAAUCUGAAGUCUCAUACAACGUUCAAAGGCACAGGAAUGUGAAACAUCGUGAUAUGAUCAAGGAAAUUCUUGU